ACUCCUACGGGAGGCAGCAGUGGGGAAUAUUGCACAAUGGGCGCAAGCCUGAUGCAGCAACGCCGUGUGAGUGAAGAAGGUUUUCGGAUCGUAAAACUCUGUCCUAAGGGAAGAAACAAAUGACGGUACCUUAGGAGGAAGCCCCGGCUAACUACGUGCCAGCAGCCGCGGUAAUACGUAGGGGGCAAGCGUUAUCCGGAAUCACUGGGCUAAAGGGUGCGUAGGCGGCUUAGCAAGCCAGGGGUGAAAGGCAUUGGCUCAACCAAUGUAAGCCUUUGGAACUGUUAAGCUUGAGUGCAGGAGAGGUAAGUGGAAUUCCUAGUGUAGAGGUGAAAUUCGUAGAUAUUAGGAGGAACACCAGUGGCGAAGGCGACUUACUGGACUGUAACUGACGCUGAUGCACGAAAGCGUGGGUAGCGAACAGGAUUAGAUACCCUGGUAGCACAGAG
rnacentral:rRNA from 1 species